rnacentral:lncRNA from 1 species
UCUCAUUGGUUUGGCUUGUGGUUCUUUCCUUCAAAAUUGAGUUUUUCACGUUGGCUUGGCUUGUGGAAUCUUCCAGAUCCUUAAAAAUUCCAAAGUUUCCUUCCAAAUCUCAUUUCUCACAUUGCCUUUGUUUGUGGCAUCUUCCAGAUACUUAAAAAUUCCAAAAUUUCAUCCCAAAUCAAAUUCUAAAAUUUCAUCCCAAAUCUCAUUUUUCACAUUGGCUCUGCUUGCAGAACCUUCACAUCCUCAAAAAUUCCGAUAUUUCCUUCAAAAAAUCGCAUUUUUCACAUUGGCUCUGCUUGUGGUUCCUCCAAAUUUCAAAAUUUUCUGUGUCCAACAUCCUCAGGGUCCUGAAGGAAUUUUCCCUUUUUUUUUUNACAACAAUGACAAUUCCAUAUAA